CCUACGGGAGGCAGCAGUGAGGAAUAUUGGUCAAUGGACGAGAGUCUGAACCAGCCAAGUAGCGUGAAGGAUGACUGCCCUAUGGGUUGUAAACUUCUUUUAUAUGGGAAUAAAAUGUUCCACGUGUGGGAUUUUGUAUGUACCAUAUGAAUAAGGAUCGGCUAACUCCGUGCCAGCAGCCGCGGUAAUACGGAGGAUCCGAGCGUUAUCCGGAUUUAUUGGGUUUAAAGGGAGCGAAGGUGGAUUGUUAAGUCAGUUGUGAAAGUUUGCGGCUCAACCGUAAAAUUGCAGUUGAAACUGGCAGUCUUGAGUACAGUAGAGGUGGGCGGAAUUCGUGGUGUAGCGGUGAAAUGCUUAGAUAUCACGAAGAACUCCGAUUGCGAAGGCAGUUCACUGGACUGCAACUGACACUGAGGCUCGAAAGCGUGGGUAUCAAACAGGAUUAGAUACCCGAGUAGUC
rnacentral:rRNA from 1 species